rnacentral:rRNA from 1 species
UACGGGGGGGGCAAGCGUUGUUCGGAAUUACUGGGCGUAAAGGGCUCGUAGGCGGCCAACUAAGUCGGCCGUGAAAUCCCCAGGCUCAACCUGGGAACUGCGUCCGAUACUGGAUGGCUUGAAUCCGGGAGAGGGAUGCAGAAUUCCAGGUGUAGCGGUGAAAUGCGUAGAUAUCUGGAGGAAUACCGGUGGCGAAGGCGGCAUCCUGGACCGGCAUUGACGCUGAGGAGCGAAAGCUAGGGGAGCAAACGGG